GAUGAAGAACGCAGCGAAAUGCGAUAAGUAAUGCGAAUUGCAGAAUUCCGUGAGUCAUCGAAUCUUUGAACGCACAUUGCGCCUGCCAGCACUCUGGCAGGCAUGCCUGUUCGAGCGUCAUUUCAACCAUCAAGCCCUAGGCUUGCGUUGGAGCCCUGCGGCUGCCGCAGGCCCCUAAAAGCAGUGGCGGGCUCGCUAUCACACCGAGUGCAGUAGAUUACUCUUCGCUCAGGGCGUGUGGCGGGUUCCAGCCGUGAAACCCCCUACUUCUCAAGGUUGACCUCGGAUCAGGUAGGAAUACCCGCUGAACUUAAGCAUAUCAAUAAGCGGAGGA
rnacentral:misc_RNA from 1 species